rnacentral:lncRNA from 1 species
CCGGAAAAUGGAACUUCAUUUCGUUGGGUAAGGGCUUUUUUGAAUUUACGUUUAAUUCCGCUGAAGAUUUGAGAAGAGUUUGCUCUUCAACUUCUUGGAACAUCAAGCCAGGUACCUUGAAGCUUUUCAGAUGGUCUUCGGACUUUAAUCCUAGUGCGCAUAAUUUAUCUUAGAUACAAUGUUGGGUAAGGGUUCAUAAUCUACCGCAGGAAUAUUACAGACCAAAUGUCCUGUUUUCCAUUGCCGGUGGAAUUGUCUAUCCUAUUUCUUUGGACUCGGCCACCAAAAAUCGGUCAUUUGGCCAUUACGCUAGGAUUCUAAUUGAGCUUGACAUAAAAAAAGAGCCCUCAUCGGAAAUGUUUGUUGAGCGGGAUGGCUUUGCUUUUGUUGUUAAUAUUGAGUAUGAAAAGUUUCCUCCUUAUUGCCUUCACUGUCAAGCAUUUGAGCAUGCUCGUAAGGCUUGCCGAAAGAUGCAAAAAUCUACAGCAGCUGAUCCGAAUGUCGUAGCCCUAAGAGCCGGUAAAUCUGCCUAGGCUGGUAGGCAGUCACGCCCAGUCCAGCCUCCAGACCAAAAUUCUGUCCAGGCUGGUGCUGCAGCCUAGAAUUCUGCCCAGGCUGGUAGGCAUUUCCGCCCAGUCCAGCCUCCAGUGGCGCCUGCUGAUUCUGCCCAGGUUGGUAGGCUGUCCCGCCCAGUCCAGCCUCUAGUGGUGCCUGCAGACUAGAAUUCUGCCCAGGCUGGUGCGCCUGCAGUCCAGACUUCUGCUUAGGCUGGUGCGCCUACAACCCAGACUUUUGCCCAGGCUGGUACGCCUGCAUCCCAGACUUCUGCUCAGACUUUUGCCUAGGUUGGUGCGCCUACAGCCCAGACUUCUGCUCAGGCUGGUGCGCCUGCAGCCCAUACUUCUGCCCAGGCUGGUAGGCAUUCCCGCCCAGUCCAGCCUUCUGUGGUGUAGCAGCAGGGGCCUCUUCGCCCGCUUGAUGCAGCAUUUCAUGCUGCUAUUUCUGUAGUACCUCCAACAUUAAGGGUUGUUUCUGCAGCCAUUCCAGCAUCUGUGGCUGAUGCUCCUGUAGUUGUGCAGAAUCCAAUCUAAUAAUUGAUUUAAAUAUGCAGGUCCCGGAUUAUCCCGUGGUUUCAGGUCCGCCGGCUACGCAGAAAAUUGGUGUUGAUAAAGGCAAAAGGCCAAUGUUUGAGCAGGUUUCCCUCGACCCUUCAGAUAGUUUUUUGGCUAUUAGAGUGCACCCUAAUGUGGAGACAACCCUCAUUAUUAAGCCAACAGAUAACCUGCAGUCUAACCAGGGCUACCACGGCUGUGGUGGGAGCUGCCUGGACAACGCGUGGGGAGCCCUCAAGAGUGGGGAUUCCGGGCUCGGAAAAAUCGUUUGCGGAUGCUUUAAAAAACACUUGAUUUUUCCGACUUUUCCGUCUCUGACCUUCCCAUGCCUUGUAUAAAAGAUGGGAAAAUUGCUAUCAAAAUUCCGGAAGAUGAAUACAAAGCCGGGGUGGAGGAAUGCAAACAUUUUAUCGAAAGGUGACA